CAUGCAAGUCGAGCGAGAAGCUAACUUCGGUUGGUGGACAGCGGCGCACGGGUGAGUAACGCGUGGGAAUUUACCUUUCGGCGGGGGACAACAGUUGGAAACGACUGCUAAUACCGCAUACGCCCUACGGGGGAAAGAUUUAUCACCGAAAGAUAGGCCCGCGUUAGAUUAGGUAGUUGGUAGGGUCAAAGCCUACCAAGCCGACGAUCUAUAGCUGGUUUGAGAGAACGAUCAGCCACACUGGAACUGAGACACGGUCCAGACUCCUACGGGAGGCAGCAGUGGGGAAUCUUGCACAAUGGGCGAAAGCCUGAUGCAGCCAUGCCGCGUGAGUGAGAAGGCCUUCGGGUUGUAAAACUCUUUUAGAUGUGAAGAUGAUGACGGUAACAUCAGAAAAAGCACCGGCUAACUUCGUGCCAGCAGCCGCGGUAAUACGAAGGGUGCUAGCGUUGUUCGGAAUUACUGGGCGUAAAGAGCGUGUAGGCGGGUUAGCAAGCUAGAGGUGAAAUCCCAGGGCUCAACCCUGGAACUGCCUUUGAUACUGCUAAGCUUGAGAUCGUGAGGGGAUAGCGGAAUACCCAGUGUAGAGGUGAAAUUCGU
rnacentral:rRNA from 1 species